GUGCCUGCUUUUAUCUCACUCAGUCAGUCAUAAGGUCCAAAAUUCUCUGAGUCUAUAGUGAUCAGGGUUAUUGGGUAAAAAUCAUCCUUGCUAGAUGUAUUAGAUAACAGGCUGCAUGAGAACCAUUCUGAAGUGCAAAAUCUGGAGGUGUACUGUCACCAUACUUAUGUGUUGUACCGAGUGUACCGACCAAAAGGGAACUGAUCAAAUCAUUUUUAUUUUACUUAAUCUUCAUGUCACAAAGCAAAUGGGUUUAUGCACAACAUUUAUCCAGUGACUAAUGAGAAAACAGACUAAUAUUCUGACAUAUUUUUUUAGAUGUUUUUCAGUUUGUUUUUUAUUGAAAUGUAUUAUUAUAAUAGAUACAUGUCUUAAUUAAAUGCAGGCUUUCAUGUUGCCUGAAGCAAAUGGGGAAGUGCAGUGAUUGACAUGAGAUUGGGAUUUAGACUGCACCUGUACAAAAUAUCAGUGGAAUAAAUGACUUCAGAACUAUUUAUUUCACUUUUGAAGAGACCUCAGGUUAUGUCAAGUCUGUCUAUCAUAUUUGUUAUUCAGGCAGGUUUGUCUGUCGGGAUCAUUUUCAUCCAGUAGGGGUCACUGUAGCCCCAGUAAAGCAAGCUUUGUGAGCCCAGACUCAAGGCUGAUUUUGUCAGAGCAUUUAAUUAUACUGAAUGGUCAGACAGUGAACAUCAGAGGGCUCCCCAAAGGAUCAACACUCAUUUCCUUGUCUCAUUUUUAAGUACAUGUAGCCCCAAUAUGGUUUUUGUGCCGCAGUUUCUGUGAAUAUAAUGGCAGUAUUGUAGCUGCAAGUCAAGAGAUAUUUUCUCUUCGUUUCCCUCCCUGCUAAUAAUACUGAUCAUUUUUUGCUGCUAUCGGCCAUCUAUGGCAUCCCUCCUUUGACCCUUUGAGGCACUGUCGGUAGAAAACUAACAUUUUCUCUCCACUCAUUAAGAUAGUUGGCCAGUUAUUCAGUAUAGAUCUAAUAAGCUUUGACUGAAACUUACCAGACAGUGAAAUUAGUUGGCUACAGCUUUACAUACAAGUUGAGUUGUCCUCUAAAACAGCUGUGUCACAGCUCUUGGCCUACCCCAGUGUCAGUUAUUUUUGGUCUACUUGCCAACCACAGCACCUUUUUUUCAGUGGUGAACUGAUGCAGAAAUCGGAAAUCGCUAAAAAUCGUGCCCUCGUGAAAAAUGCAGCCUUGGAGGCCCUUCAGGGCAACAGCUGUUAUUUGGGGGACAGGGGGCCGUUUACUGGGGAGCCACUGAGCUUUGCAAGGACACAAGCGUGCAGGGUCCAUUUGGAUCAUAGGUUAAUGGUCAACUCUGACUCAUUGUGCCACUGGUAAAGUGCACUGCUGCAUUUUUGCACUGUUCGUGGUUCAUUACCUCGACCGAAGGGGAGGUGUUUGCUGAUCAGAGUUCGUACUGUUAUACACAAACUAUAAAUAAUGAGGAGAAAUGUGUCUGAGCCCAGAUGUCUUUGGCCAAGUGCAGGCUGGGUGUAAAAGUAACUGCUGGGUAUAAAUUGAGAAAGAUACCUGCUUCCCAGAGUCAGCUCUCUUGUUAUAUGGUCCAUUGUUUCACAUAGCGUGUCAGAUGAAAACUUUGGGGUCAUAGCCCCAGGGAGCUGAAUGUUGUCCAUGAGCAUCUUUUUCAAUUUACUUUACCAAAGGGCUCAAAUGAAAUUGUACCAAGGUGCAGUUUUAUUCUUUUCUUUAGCUCGAUUGUGACCUGUGGAAGAAAGUAAAGCAAACUAAAGUAAAGUAAAGUAAAGCAAAUGUCUCCCUGUGCUCUCCCUCUCUCCAGAAAAGCUUGAAAUUUAAAAUGAAGUUUCAUGGUCACAGAGAACGCACUGCAUUUCACAUAUAAUUCCAUCUUCAUUCAUUUAAGAUUUAAUAAAAUGCCAUGGAAAACUUUUAAAUGGUUUUGGAAAACCAUGAGCUUGCAGGUCCUUUUCUCAGAAGUAACUUGAAAUUAGCAUUUGUAGACUGUUAAGAAAAGAAAAACCUUCCCAAGGAGAAUUCUUCUUAAUGCUUUAAUGCUAACAACGUCCCUAAUUCUCCCCCAAUUCCAUCUGCAGCCAAAGAAACUAUCCAUAUAUCUUAAGAAGUAUAACUUUAAUGUUCAACCACAUUGCUAUCAUUUUUUCCCACUAAAAUGGUACCUCUACAUAUAAAUUGCAGUGCAGAGAGACUUUUGAGAUGGAAUAGAUUAUAUUGUUGUGCGGUAUGAUCGAUGAUACCCCUGAAAAUGAUCAUUUCUGAAAACAUAGCGGGGACCCUGGGACUGUACUUUUUUGUACCUUUUUUUUUUUAAAUACAUAUUUUAAGAUGUAUCCUCAAGCCACUCACUACAACCAAAAAAAAGGCUUUGCACUCUGAGAUUUUAAAAGUGAUAUAUCCUUUGUAUCUACCACCAGUAUCAUCAUGGUGCAGUGAUGUGAGAUGAUGGAUUGAUUGUCCUCUGUUAGGGACAUGUGCUGUCACUCUGUGAUAGAAAGGCAAGAACUCGAGCACCGUGUAGCUGCAGAGGAUUGUGUUAACGUACAUGAUACACCGUCUCAUGGAGAUGGAGAGGUGUGUGUUUCUGAUGGAAAGGAUCGCUGGAUAUAUUGUAUGUGAUUUGUCCAAAAAUAUUUUGCCCUCAGGGCUUACUUACUGCCCUUUUUAUGAGAAACAUGAAUUCUAUUGCAUUGCAUCUUAGUCCUGAUUAUUUCUUAAGAUUUAUUUACAAAAGACUCACUGUGAGUUGUAUCUACUUUACAAGCAAGGCCAGCGUGUAAUCUUGGCUCUACUAGUACAUUUGCCUUCCCCCCAGUCCUUAAUACAUUUUGAGACUCUGUCUAAACAUUUGAACUUCUUUUUCACAAUAAAAGUUCUCUUCACUUAAGUUUUUAUUUCCAUGUCAUGCCAAACAUUUGGCCCAAGAUACUGCUAUAUAUCAAACAUCAAUAAAAGAGCUGCAUAACAUAAUUUUCUGUACCAAAUUCAUACCACGUUCAUACUUUUAAAAAUGUGUUAGCCCUUGAGCCUGUUGUUUUUUCUUUUAAUAUCUGAGUUAAUCUGAUUGAAAUUUUAGUGGAAGGUUGCUGUUUGGGCAAGGCCAAUGUUUUUGUUCAAAACCCUCUUUCAAACUUACUUUUAAGUGUUUCAUGCAUCACCAUUAAAAAAAAAAAAAAAAAAAAAAA